GAGACCAUGAGGGCACCAGUGCAGCUCCUCAGCUUUCUCAUGCUCUGGCUUCCAGGUGCCAGGGGUGACAUCCAGAUGACCCAGUCUCCUCCAUCCAUGUCUGCAUCUCUGGGAGAGAAAGUCGCCAUCACCUGCAAGGCCAGUCAGGGCAUUUACGGGGACUUAGCCUGGUAUCAGCAGAAACCAGGGGAAGCUCCCAGGCUUCUGAUCUAUUAUACAUCAAACUUGCAAUCCGGCGUCCCUUCCCGAUUUAGUGGCAGUGGAUCUAACAGAGAUUACACUCUCACCAUCAGCAGCCUGGAGUCUGAAGAUGCAGCCACUUAUUACUGUCUACAGUAUGAUAAUACGCCUCCCACAGUGAUACAGGCCAUGACAUAA